UUGACCUCGGAUCAGGUAGGAAUACCCGCUGAACUUAAGCAUAUCAAAA
rnacentral:rRNA from 10 species